rnacentral:rRNA from 1 species
CCUACGGGAGGCAGCAGUGAGGAAUAUUGGUCAAUGGCCGGAAGGCUGAACCAGCCAAGCCGCGUGAAGGACGAAGGUACCAAGCAUUGUAAACUUCUUUUGUCAAGGGACAAAAUCAGGCUCGAGAGCCUGACCGAGGGUACUUGAAGAAAAAGCAUCGGCUAACUCCGUGCCAGCAGCCGCGGUAAUACGGGGGAUGCGAGCGUUAUCCGGAUUGAUUGGGGUUAAAGGGUGCGUAGGCGGACUGUUAAGUCAGCGGGAAAAGCCCGGGGCUCAACCCCGGCGAGCCGUUGAUACUGGCUGGCUUGAGAUGUCGAGAGGUAUGUGGAAUGCGCAGUGUAGCGGUGAAAUGCUUAGAGAUUGCUCAGAACUCCGAUUGCGAAGGCAGCAUACCGGCGGCGAUCUGACGCUGAGGUACGAAAGCGUGGGUAUCGAACAGGAUUAGAUACCCCUGUAGUC